GUCCAAAGUGUUGAGUUCGGUUCUGGGCCUCUCCCCAGUCCUGGUAAUUAUUCUUUGGCACAGAAAUGGCAUAGAGUGGCUCUGAAUAGAAAGUGGACAUGCCAGCCACUUGAUUCCACUCUAGCCAACAUGU
ensembl:snoRNA